AACGAACGCUGGCGGCGCGCCUAACACAUGCAAGUCGAACGAGAAUCCGGGGCAACCUGGUAGUAAAGUGGCAAACGGGUGAGGAAUGCAUGGGUAACCUGUCCUUGAGAAGGGAAUAACCCACCGAAAGGUGAGCUAAUACCCUAUACGUUUCACUUUUUUUGGAAAGUGAAAGAAAGCUAGGCCGAGGGCCUGGCGCUCGUGGAGGGGCUCAUGUCCUAUCAGCUUGUUGGUGGGGUAACGGCCUACCAAGGCAACGACGGGUAGCUGGUCUGAGAGGAUGAUCAGCCACACUGGCACUGAGAUACGGGCCAGACUCCUACGGGAGGCAGCAGUGAGGAAUAUUGCGCAAUGGGCGAAAGCCUGACGCAGCGACGCCGCGUGGGGGAUGAAGGUUUUCGGAUUGUAAACCCCUUUUG
rnacentral:rRNA from 1 species